CCGUGCUAAGCGGGGAGGUAGCGGUGCCCUGUACUCGCAAUCCGCUCUAGCGAGGCCGAAUCCCUUCUAGAGGUUAGUGUACUGUAGGGCAGUCUCAAGUAAGUGGUGUUGACGCCUGGGUCCUACGCAAUGGGAAUCCAUGAACCAUGUCAGGUCCGGAAGGAAGCAGCAUUAAGUGGAAGCUCCCAUGUGCCGUAGGGUUGCCUAGGCCGAGCUAACUGCUUGAGCAACGCCUAUGGUUGCUAAUCGAAGGAAGGUGCACGG
rnacentral:SRP_RNA from 1 species